rnacentral:lncRNA from 1 species
ACCUUUUCUCUCUCCCGUUACCCAUUCUCCCUUCUCUCCAAAGUGUUUUGUGCUCAUUUCCAUUCCCCAUUGCAUUUUUUUUUUCCAUUUUUGUCACCAUCAUUCCUUUAAUUCUCAUCAAAUGUUCUACAUUUAGUGUUAAGUUCAUGGUUGAGUGAGAAGUGGAAAUACUAAGUCAUGGAGGGUUUGAUUUUUGGUGUUCCUUGAGAUUCGGUGGAAAUCGCUCCGGUGCCCGUUCCGGAAGGCAUUGCUAGGAACGGACUUGAAGCUUCAUAGUUGUGAGUAGCUAAAUUACCUUGUGGCAUGUUUUUAUAAGUUAAAAUGUUGUUUUAU